AGAUUCCAUCUAAAAAAAAAAAAAAAUGGAGUAAUAAAGCUAGAAGCCCAGGAACACCAAGGACUGCCAGCAAACAGCAGAAGGUAGAAGAGGCGAGGAAAGAUUCUCCCCUACAGGUCUCAGAGGGAGUACAGCCCUGCUGCCUUUUUGAUUUUAGACUUUAGCUUCCAGGACUACCAGACAAUAAGUGUUGGUGGUUUUAAUCUACCUAGUUUGUGUGAUUUGUUAUAGCAUCCCUAGGAAAUGAAUAUACUCAUCAUGUCCAAAACCGAACAGAACAACACCUUUCCUCACCAAUAACCCUAACUUGUUUUUCUCCAAAGUUCUUUUUUCAAAUAAUAGCAACACAGUCUACAGUCCUCUCAACUAUAUAAACUAGAAACUUAGAUUCAUUUUAUACUUUUUUUUACACUUCACAUCUUAUAAGCCACUAAAUUUUGUUACCUCUAUUCCCUAUCCAACUUUCUCUUUAACAUUGCAACAAUUUCCAAGGCACCUCUUUCUUUUUUUCCUUCCUUGUAUUUCCAGUAAAUUCUUAGUAUCUCCUACAGUAUUCUAUUUACAAGAUUAAAAUACUUACAGUAAUAAUAGCUACCCUUUUCUGAGAGUUUACUUUGUGCCUGGAGAUGUGCUAAGCUCUUUCACAGAUAUUUGAUCUUCACAAUUUGAGGCGGUAACUACAAUUAUUAUCUUCAUUUUAUGGAUUAAAAAACUGGUGCCCACGUUCACAAAGCUAUCAAAUGUCAGAGUUGGGAUUUGAAGUCUUACUCACUCUGUUAUACUGUUUGUGGUACAUCAUGUCACCUCCACAAAGUACAAAGUACUGGCAUGGCACUCAGGCCAAGCCUAAGCUAUGUUUCCAGCCUGUUACCCUACACAUUCCUCUACAACCCUCAGCUCCAGGCACAUGAGACUGCCCAUCAGUCCCUGAACAUGUGAUUCACUUUCGUGCCUUUAUGGCUUAGGUUGUACGGUUCCCGCAAUCUAGAAAGCCAACAAGUUUUCAUUGCCUAAAAACCUUCAGAUACUUCAGUGCCAAGCUUACCUAUUAUCUCUUUCACCAACACCCCAAAUUAGAAUUACCCGUUCCUUCCUCAGGGUUGCCUACUUAGAACUUAGGCCAUUCCACCUUGCUUUAUAGCUAGUCGUUUGCAUGUUUAUUUCUCCUACUGUCUUGCUGGCUUCUUAAUUCAAGGGCUAUGUCAUUUAAUUUUGUCAUUUAGUUUCUUUCCGUCUUUUAUAACAGUGCCUCAAUCAAUGUUUGUUGAUUUGAAUUGCUAAUAACAGCAAUAGUAAUUACGAUAAUAAUGUCAGCAAGCCUGUGCUAGGCAUUCAUACUCAACAAUUUCAGUAAGAUUUGAAAAAUAAAGUUUUUUUUUUAUUUAGAAACGUUGUAUCAGUUUUUCUUUGUCCACAACUGAAAAGAAAUUUCUUGAUCUAUUUACCUAUUUUGAUAUCAUACAAGAAGUUUCAUUUGAAAUGCCUAUUCAUUUCUAUUCGAUUUGAUGUUUCUGUGAGAUGUAGACAUUUAUUGUGUGGUAACAUCCAAAUCUGUUCAUCAUCCUUUAGAAAUAAAACACUCAUAAAGGGAAGGAGAGGGGAAUCCACUUCUUUGCCUGCACCCCAGAACAUAUUUCCUUUACCCCUGGAUCUUGAAGCAGGUCUUGUCCUUGUGAGGUUAUGUCACAGCUAGUUUGGACCUAAGCUGGUACUCUGUUACAUUUCAUGAGAGGAGGUCAGGCUGAAUUGAAGAUAGUAUGUUCACCUCACCACCCUUAUGGUUCUGGCAGCUUAAACCUAGCCUUCAUUUAUUUUGGCGUCCCUGAGAACUGACAUAGGAUCAAAUUCCACACUUUUGAGCAAAUGGAAGGAACCCAAAGAAGAAAAUAGAGAAGAAGCUAAAUGAGCCUUGUGGGAAAUCAAGCCAGAGUGGACAUUCUGGCAAAGUGGCAGAAUAACUUUCUGCUUAAAUGAGAAACUAUUUAGAAGUCAGUCAUGUGCAAAUAAUUAAACAAAAUGGUUAUAAAUGUGGGUGCCUUAAUAAGGAACAGACUGAAGAACAUGAUUAGGAAAUAAUUAAAAGGAAAACAGUAUUUUCCACAAAGCAGAGAAACGUGGUGAAAAAUAAGAUAAUCACUCUGCCCCCUUGGGCUUUAUUUUUUCCCAGCUGGAAAAAUAUCCCUAUUUCUACCCAUGAUUUGAAAUAUCUAGAACAUUGAAUUUAUUGACGGGAAAUGUAUUUACCAUCUAAUCAGACAAAUCCUAAAAGGAAAAGAGUGCUGUACACAUCAGAGGUACCCUAGAGACUCAGCUGUUCAUAACUCUGCAUGAAUAGGGCGGAAAGUGCCAUAUUCCCAUUAAAGAGCAACACAGUUGGUUAAAGAAUGAACAAAAGGCAGCAUUUCUUCAUUAGUGUCAUUGCAGGAAGCUGAUGCUGUGAAAACUGGAGGCCAUCAAAUGGGUUAUUGCAGCAAUAAAACAGAAUGAAAAAAUGAAAUGCUCCAUUCUCUUGUCAAUCCCAUAUCCUUAUCUCUUUCUUUUUAAUAUACUAGGCACUACCCUGGUAAGCUAAUGCAUAUUUGCGGUUUCGUUUUGUGUUUGGUAAUUGUGCUAUGGGCAAUUAUUCAUUUGACAGAAUUUGCUUUAAAUGAAGGAAACUGGCAGGUUGGAAGAAGAAAAACCCAAUGUUGCCUAAUCACCAAUUAAGGAAACUGCCAGAGGUAAGACUGGACCUGGGACUGGUAUCAGUAAAAAUGAUAUAAUGAUGCUGCACUUCAAAAGACAUUUUGAAGAGACACUUAAUGAAGGAGAGUCCCCUCCCAAGAAAGUGUGAAGGAGAAAAAGAGGAGAGAAGAAAGCUCUAGCUUGCCCUGGAUAACAUGCACCAAAAUCGUGGUGUAAACAAAGUCAUGUGAAAUUACUGAGUACUUGGAGGGGGCAUCACAAAAGAUUCCAUGGAAGAAGAGAGGCUGAGUGAGUGGGAUGCUUCUGCACAACCCUGUGCUGUAUACUGCCAAAUUAAAACAUGUAAGCUUUGACUUCUGUCCUAAAGAAGCUUUGAAUCCAGCCAAGGAGAAAAAAUAAACACACUUAAAAUUUAAAAAUAAAGACAACCUAGAGUUGAAUGUGUAAUACAAAUACAUUGAAAUUUUUGGAACUGAAAUUUAUGUCCCUGUUUCUGUGCUAAAUCAGACUAGGACUAGGCAAAAGUAACUUAGCUAAUGGUUUCUGAAAAAAAUUGUUUCUGGAAGUUAAUGCUGUGAGCCAACUAAACUAGCUUACUUAUCAAAAGACUGACAGCUUGCUUGGCAAUACUCACUUUAAGAGCACCCUUUGUGCGGUCAUCAGUCCAAAGCUCUCCUGUCAUUAACUCUGCUCAAUACAAACUAGUUCUCUGCCUUGAAAGACCUGCCUUAAGUCACCCAGCCCUGGCCCUAAAAUACUAAGAAUAUCCUUCUCUCAUUUUUCCUCUCUGAGAAGAUACUGAGACUGUCAAGGCCUUUACUGCAGUGAAUCUAAUCAGCUUUGCUUGAUCAAAAGACUUUUCUCACGAUCUUUUUGGGAAUUGGCAGAACAAAUCAAUAAUUUUCCAUAAAGACAGAUGCCUGGGCUACCUGGUAAUUUUUGUAGCCAUACAAUUUGUGCAUAAAUACUUCCUUUAUUUCUCAAUGUAUCUGAAGAUGGAGCCCAGGAAGAAAGCAAUAGCCAUGACUGAAAGGUUAUGCAUCAACAACACUAAUAAGGUAUUGGUAUAAAGAAAAGCAUUAAUCUAGGAGGUGCCUGGAGACCCUUGGGGGUGGUACUUUUGUUUUCUGGUGGUACUGAUGAUGGGAUGGACUAGGGCUGAGAUUGGACACAGCUUUGGGUACGGUUUUAUAACCUCAUUUAAUUUCCUGGGCUCUAUUAGCCAAGAUUCCUCCUGGAAAAAGAGUAAGUCAUGUCAGUGCCCGGGAUACACACUGAAUUGUGACAAACUAGGGAUGGAUGGAUGCUCCAGGAGAGCCAAUUUGCAGAGAGGGCAGGGCACAGAAAAUUCAUCCGAAGGUGAGAGAACAUGUGGAAUGAGCGUCAGGGCCUAGGGUCAAUGCAUGGGCAGGUGUAGGCAGCCCUUGGUCCUGGGACUUACCAGGCCUGGUCAUCCUAGCAGCACCCACACUCUGGGAAGUGUGUGGAACUCAGUGAGCCAUCUCACUGGACUGGCAACCCCUCAGGGCCCAAGCAACCCUGCUGUGGGAGUCCCCUAAGGGCGUGAAACAGUAGAGGAAGUGUUUCUCUGUUCAACCCUUGACAGGUCAGGGAGCUUGGGGCACAGAGGACUAUGAGCAAUGAGGGUUGAGUAUCUUUUCCUUGGAAGGAGCAGAGGCCCACAGAGGGAGUGCAUGUUAGAGUAGCAGAGGCCCGAGAAGGCGGCCCUGAAACAUGAACAUGUGUCAGACAGCCCCUUCUCCCAUACUCUCAGAAGGGCUUCGGGGCUGGGGUUUUAGAAGGAACUGGAAUUACUUUUAUGAGUCAUCAAAGCCCAGAAUUAAUAAGAUUUUGAUUUGAAUCUCAAGGAACCCCAAGCUUGAGUCCACAGGCUGCUGAUGCUUGGAAAUGUCUGAGUCACAUCACGUAAAAUCACUGGUUUCAGGAUGAUUUCCUGUAGGAGUCCUGGUAGGAGGGAGCUGGCUGGGAUAGUCAUUGUCAUGCAUGCCAAUGCAGGAGAGGACAGAGCAUAAUUGCUUCAAUCUGUGUCUCUUUUGCCUACUGAAUUCCUACUCUCCGUAGACUGAUUAUAGUGGAGAAACAGUCAAGAGCCUAAGGAAUUCUAAAAUAAUAGAAGCCGGUGGGAACUGGAAUAGUCAUAGAAAAACAUUUGUGGCAGAGGUAGAUGACCUGAGAAGGCUAGUAAAAAGAGUGAGAGAAGGGCUUUUACCAAUAUCUCUGCUUGAUUCUGUAUAUCUGUACGCAGUCACUCUCCAAAGCCUAGGACCCCAGCAGGCAGUGCAGCCACCAGCUUGGAGUCUUUGUCCUUGGGAGGAGGGAAGGAAGGCAGAAGGAGUGACAAUGCUGUCACUCUCCAGCACCCACAACUUUUGACUUCCUGGGUGGGUGUUAAUAACACCCCAGCCUUUCCAGGGCAGCUCUAAUUUCAAAUGAUCUGUCCCAACGUCUUGGAAGAAUGGUAGCCAUAAGAAAAGAACCGAGGAGCCAUAACCAAUGCCAUUGCUCCAGUGCUGUCUCUUUGCUAGCUGCACUGUGGGUCCUUGAUUGAGUCACUUCUCCUCUCUAACCCUGUUUCCUAGUCUGUAGAAAGAAAGACUAAUACUGACCUUAUGUAAGCGUGACAUGCACUGCUGGCUUUCCUUUUUCCCUCCUUCCAUAGUAACAGAAAUGCAGCCAGGCACAGGGCUGACCAGCUGGGCCACCUUUCCCCAUCUUCUGUGAAGAAGAUGAGACUAAGUUCUCUCCAGAAGAAUAUGAUGGAAAUGGUGCCUUCCUUUUCCAGCCUGGCCUCUUAAUACCAGACCAAGAGAUAUCAUAAGCUUUCCUUUUUCCACUGGCUAUGACCCAGGUGAGGCACCUACACAAAAUUGGACAAAGAAAGAAGAUGGUGAAGACUCUGUUCCCUGAAUAAUUGAAGGGAAGAGAGCUGCUUGCUAAGCUAGUUUAUGAAAUAAAUAAUUUUGCUUGAGCAAUUGCAUAUUUCAAGUCCCUAAAGUUCAAUCUUAUCCUAAUUGGGUAUAUCUCACAGAACUGUUGGAAGCCAAGGAGAAAAAAGGAGGAGGCAACCUCUUACAAACUGUAAAGUAUUUUACAAAUAUAUUAUAGCUGCUAUAUAAUUGAAUGAACCACUAAUGGAAGCAACAAUUGUGAAAAACUAAAAUUACCCCACUGUCUGGCUGAAUUAUCCAGCCUAAUCUUACUACUCUGAGCAAAUUAGGCAAGGAUGGUAGGCACAUUAGACACAUUAGGUGUUUGAUAUCAAGCCUCUGUUCCUAUUAAAACCCCUCCUUUCUGGGGAGUCUCACAAGGUAAGGACCAUGGAGCCUAAGGGGCCACAUCCCCCGCCCCUGCCUUGGCAUGCAACCAGCCUAAUAUGAGGCUAGCAGGAGUUCAUGUCCAUUACGCUGCAGAGUGGCAGAGGCAACCUGGACCAUGCCUGGGGCUUCCCCUGUGCUCCAGAACAGGAACCUUGACUGAUGCCCCAGGCAGUUGUCAGCUCUCCACAUCUAAGCUUACUCACAGACACAACCUAAGCAAUUAAACAAUAUCUGUCUUGAAAAUCUCCCAAUUCCCUUCAUUACAGCCUUUCACGAAUCCUCUCAACAUCCCUCAGAAAGUGGAAAGCAGGUGUAGCUUUCCUAACUUGACAGCAAGCAGAUGUUUGGGAAAAGAAUUAGGCAGCUCAUGAGGGCACACAGGAACAGAGCUGAGCCGAGCGUGGUACAGCUGCCCUGGGCACCUGCAUCUGACCAAGGCUGCUAAGCCCAAUCUCUACCUAAAAAUAGUGUCUUCCCUGCCUGCCAGGAGGCCAAAAAUACUAGGCAUUACACUGCUGGAGAUAACAGAAUCAUUCCUUUACCUUUCCUAGGAAUUAUCUUUCUUAAGAUGCAAAAAGCUUUGGAGAAGGGGUCUCACACAACCCUUAGGUAAGAAUGAGGGGUUGAAUGAGACCCUUCAUUCUUACCUAAGUUAAUGAGUCACAAUGGAGGCGUGGAGCCCCUGGGAGGAGGGGCACGCAAAACACCCAUUUAUAAAUGACAGAGCUGGGAUAAGAACCCAUUUCUCUCCCACAGUAAAGCCUAGACAUGCCCUUUCCAUGUUACCACACUUGGUCCCUAGAGCUGAAGAGGACACAAGUCAAGAGCAUUAAUUGGGUCCUCUUUCUGAAACUCCCUCCAUUUAUUGCAGUGGAACCUCCUGAGGAACAGAUUUGUGCUUGAGCUCCGGCAACAUGAGGCAGCUGAGGGACCAAAGGAGGCUGGACCCCUGGAUGCAGUAAAACAGAAGCACGUUCUCAUCUGAGCGUUCUGCUAUUGCUAUGCUCUCCAAAAAGAGGUAUACACAACUUUAUCUUUGAUUUAUGCUCCGGCCACCAACUCACAUGCUUAGACAAAACAAGACACAGUCUCCGAGCGCUUUAGACCAGUUUUGAAAACAGAAAUCUUUUCCUUUUCCCUCAACUUCCUAUUUGACACACUUAUGUCAGCUUCUGAUCUUUCUUUAAAUUCUCUCCACUGCCGAGGGCCUUGAUUCUCUUAAAGAUCAGUCUCUCCUCCCAGCUUACGAAGACUUGAUCUUUCUUUGAGAUAAGUGUCAUUUACUUCUUUAGAGGGGAAAGGAAGAUCUAAAAACUUGUUUCUAACUUAUACCUUCCCUUUGUUCUAUGUCAAGACUGAAAUAUCUUUACCAAAAGACCACACUAAUUACACAGGCUGCUGCUUGCACUGUAGGCAGAUGUCUUGAAGGAGUUUUUCUGCAGAGGUAGAACUUGAAAUGAGCUCUUGAAACGAGCAGGCAGACCUGGAUCUGGAGCUGAGCUUGGCUACUCACUAGCUGUGACAAUAUGGGUUAGUAACUUAGUGACUCAGUUUCCUGCUCUGAAAAAUGGAGAUAAAGACCCCUUUCUCACAGGCUUCUUGUAAUAAUUAAAGUAUAUCAUACAUGUUAAAUACCUGGAGCUCCAUAACUAGUUUCCCUCAUUUUCCAACAUCCUGUAGAUAAAGAAUUUGGGGUUGGGUGUGGUGGCUCACACCUGUAAUCCCAACACUUUG
rnacentral:lncRNA from 1 species